GCCUAGUUAACUCAGUUGGUAGUGCGUCUGCCUUGUAAGCGCUAGGCCGCGGGUUCGAUUCCCGCCCGAGGCG
rfam:Asian citrus Psyllid, Diaphorina citri - Florida Strain, whole genome shotgun sequence.